rnacentral:rRNA from 1 species
UACGUAGGGAGCAAGCGUUGUCCGGAAUCAUUGGGCGUAAAGCGCGCGUAGGCGGCCCGAUAAGUCCGCUGUAAAAGUCAACGGCUCAACUGUUGAAAGCCGGUGGAUACUGUCGGGCUAGAGUACGGAAGAGGCAAGUGGAAUUCCUGGUGUAGCGGUGGAAUGCGCAGAUAUCAGGAGGAACACCUAUAGCGAAGGCAGCUUGCUGGGACGUUACUGACGCUAAGGCGCGAAGGCCAGGGGAGCAAACGGG